UGUACAAAUGUGCGCGGUGCGUUAGACUCGUUCGUGUUGUUGAUGCGAGUGAACCACCCGUCUUAGUAGAGAUCUCUGCUACUAAUUGAUUUUAGUUCAAAGUUAAUUCCCAUCAGUUAUGCGUUCGGCCAUCUUUUUGGUCACGGCGCUGGUCGCAGCCUCAACAGCCAGAACUUGAACCCUUAAUAUCCGGAUUAAAAAGUCUCGUAUCAUUUAAUCUGUUUAAGAAAAUAUUGUCGUCAUCAUCAAGGCAUGGAUCAAGAAUGUAUUCGUAGCAACUAGCAAGACUAUUCCAAUUUACGCUACUACUACUACGCCAAUGAAAAAUAUGGACACCAUUUCGAAAAUUGUACAGCCGUUUAUUGUUAAGACAGCCUAAUGAAUAAACGUGAAUAAAUCACCGGCCUACUAUACAGAGGAUUGUGUCUCGUCAUAAAACAGGUAUACCAAAUCAUAGCAUUGCAAUUUCUGUAGAGAAUUAAUGAGGCUGAAGCGGGUAACUGCAACAAUUUUUCUAAGUUUUUCAAGGGUCAUUUAAUAUGAAUAGCUAAAAAUAAUAAAAGAAAAAUACAUCAAUUGGAAAUAUUAA